GUCCCAGUGGCCUAAUGGCUAAGGCAUUGGCUUCCAAAGCCCAAGAUUGUGGGUUCAAGUCCCAUCUGGGGUG